AAAAAUGGGAUGAUAAUACCUCCUUACUUACACCGUUUUUCUCUGCCUCCCAUUCCCAUUUGAGUGAAAAAAGACUUAACACAGGGAAGCGAAAGUGGGCAUUUAAGGAGACAUAAGGAGACAGAAUCAAACCUAAGGGCUGGAAGAGACAGUUCGGCUUGACUCUGUUGAUAAUAGCCUGGGGUCUCCUGGGCUGUAGACAUCUGCCGUUUGCGCAUCUCCAUCCGUUCUGAUCCCAUGGGCUACAAGAAAGCAAGAGAAGGGGGAGAAUGGUUGAGAUUGGAAGGGACCUCUGGAGAUCAGCUAGUCCAAUCCCCCUGCUCAAGCAGGGACGUCUACAACACAUUGCCCAGGACAGUGUCCAAGUGGCUUUUAAAUACCUCCGAGGAAGCAGACUCCACAAGCUCUCUGGGCAACCUGCUCCAGUGCUCAGGCACCCUCACAGCAAAGAAG